UUCCGGUUGAUCCUGCCGGACCCGACUGCUAUCGGAUUGAGAUUUAGCCAUGCGAGUCGAACGUCCCCCUGUUGCGGGGGGCGUGGCGUACGGCUCAGUAACACGUAGUCAACCUGCCCUGGAGACAAGGACAACCCCGGGAAACUGGGAUUAAUCCUUGAUAGGUCAUCUCAUCUGGAAGGAGAGAUGGCUUAAAGGGGUACGCGGGCUUCUUCUGCGUAUUCGCUCCAGGAUGGGACUGCGUCCGAUCAGGCUGUUGGCGGGGUAAUGGCCCACCAAACCUGUAACCGGUACGGGCCUUGAGAGAGGUGGCCCGGAGAUGGACACUGAGAGAAGGGUCCAGGUCCUACGGGGCGCAGCAGGCGCGAAACCUUCGCAAUGCGCGAAAGCGUGACGAGGUUAAUCCGAGUGACUCCCGCUGAGGGGGUCUUUUGUCAGCUGUAAAUAGGCAGGCGAAUAAGGGGAGGGCAAGCCUGGUGUCAGCCGCCGCGGUAAUACCAGCUCCUCGAGUGGUCGGGGCGAUUAUUGGGCCUAAAGCAUCCGUAGCCGGUUCCGUAGGUCCUCUGUUAAAUCCAACCGCUCAACGGUUGACCUGCAGAGGAUACCGCGGGACUAGGAGGCGGGAGAGGCGGACGGUAUUCCGCGUGUAGGGGUAAAAUCCUUUGAUCCGCGGAGGACCACCAGUGGCGAAAGCGGUCCGCCAGAACGCGCUCGACGGUGAGGGAUGAAAGCUGGGGGAACCAAACCGAAUUAAUACCCAGGUUAGUCCCAGCCCGUUAAC
rnacentral:rRNA from 1 species